GUAACGCGUGGGGAAUCUGCCUUUGAGCGGGGGACAACAUUUGGAAACGAAUGCUAAUACCGCAUAAAAACUUUAAACACAAGUUUUAAGUUUGAAAGAUGCAAUUGCAUCACUCAAAGAUGAUCCCGCGUUGUAUUAGCUAGUUGGUGAGGUAAAGGCUCACCAAGGCGAUGAUACAUAGCCGACCUGAGAGGGUGAUCGGCCACAUUGGGACUGAGACACGGCCCAAACUCCUACGGGAGGCAGCAGUAGGGAAUCUUCGGCAAUGGACGAAAGUCUGACCGAGCAACGCCGCGUGAGUGAAGAAGGUUUUCGGAUCGUAAAACUCUGUUGGUAGAGAAGAACGUUGGUGAGAGUGGAAAGCUCAUCAAGUGACGGUAACUACCCAGAAAGGGACGGCUAACUACGUGCCAGCAGCCGCGGUAAUACGUAGGUCCCGAGCGUUGUCCGGAUUUAUUGGGCGUAAAGCGAGCGCAGGUGGUUUAUUAAGUCUGGUGUAAAAGGCAGUGGCUCAACCAUUGUAUGCAUUGGAAACUGGUAGACUUGAGUGCAGGAGAGGAGAGUGGAAUUCCAUGUGUAGCGGUGAAAUGCGUAGAUAUAUGGAGGAACACCGGUGGCGAAAGCGGCUCUCUGGCCUGUAACUGACACUGAGGCUCGAAAGCGUGGGGAGCAAACAGGAUUAGAUACCCUGGUAGUCCACGCCGUAAACGAUGAGUGCUAGAUGUAGGGAGCUAUAAGUUCUCUGUAUCGCAGCUAACGCAAUAAGCACUCCGCCUGGGGAGUACGACCGCAAGGUUGAAACUCAAAGGAAUUGACGGGGGCCCGCACAAGCGGUGGAGCAUGUGGU
rnacentral:rRNA from 1 species